UAUCUCUGUAGAGUCUGCAUAUCAAUAAGCGGAGGAAAAGAAACUAACUAGGAUUCCCUUAGUAACGGCGAGUGAAGCGGGAAGAGCUCAAAUUUGAAAUCUUCAAGGUUUUACCUUGACGAAUUGUAGUUUAAAGAAGUGUUUUCUGUUGGUGUUUUGGUAAAAGUUCUUUGGAAUAGGACAUCAUAGAGGGUGAGAAUCCCGUAUUUGACCAUUACUUCCAGCGUUGUGAUACACUUUCAAAGAGUCGGAUUGUUUGGGAAUGCAGUCCAAAAUGGGAGGUAAAUUUCAUCUAAAGCUAAAUAUUGGCGAGAGACCGAUAGCGAACAAGUACCGUGAGGGAAAGAUGAAAAGAACUUUGAAAAGAGAGUUUAACAGUACGUGAAAUUGUCAAAAGGGAAGCGUUUGACACCAGUGUUGUUUUCUCGAAAAUCAAUUAAAAAAAGUUGGAUUUUGUAUUGUUAAGACCUUAUCAGCUUACUGUACUCUUUUCUUGCUUUUUUUAAUGCACUUUUCGUUUAACAAGUCAACAUCAAUUUCUUUUGUUGUAAAAGAGUCAUUGGAAGGUGGCUUUCACUUCGGUGAAAGUGUUUAUAGCCUUUGGCUUCUGCAAUCGGAGAGAUUGAGGUCUGCAGCGUAGAUCCUUCGGGGCUAGAUACGUAGAUGCUAAGUUAUAGUUUUUUAUAGACAACUUGUUGACUAUAAUUAAUCAUGUAGCUUACUCGUUUGCGCUAUUUUACCUACGCUUAGGAUGUUGAUAGUCACAGCGUGUAC
rnacentral:rRNA from 1 species